AUUGAACGCUGGCGGCAUGCUUUACACAUGCAAGUCGAACGGCAGCGCGGGGCAACCUGGCGGCGAGUGGCGAACGGGUGAGUAAUACAUCGGAACGUACCCAGAAGUGGGGGAUAACGUAGCGAAAGUUACGCUAAUACCGCAUACGUUCUACGGAAGAAAGUGGGGGAUCUUCGGACCUCAUGCUUUUGGAGCGGCCGAUGUCUGAUUAGCUAGUUGGUGAGGUAAAGGCUCACCAAGGCGACGAUCAGUAGCUGGUCUGAGAGGACGACCAGCCACACUGGGACUGAGACACGGCCCAGACUCCUACGGGAGGCAGCAGUGGGGAAUUUUGGACAAUGGGCGCAAGCCUGAUCCAGCAAUGCCGCGUGAGUGAAGAAGGCCUUCGGGUUGUAAAGCUCUUUUGUCAGGGAAGAAACGGUUGGGGCUAAUAUCUCCGGCUAAUGACGGUACCUAAAGAAUAAGCACCGGCUAACUACGUGCCAGCCGCCGCCGUAA
rnacentral:rRNA from 1 species